GUCUGGGUGGCUCAGUUGGUUGAGCAUCUGACUUCGUCUCAGGCCAUGAUCUCAUAGUUUGUGGGUUCAAGCCCCAUAUCGGACU
rnacentral:tRNA from 1 species